rnacentral:rRNA from 1 species
CAGUAGCCGCGGGAAAACGUAGGGCGCAAGCGUUAUCCGGAAUUAUUGGGCGUAAAGAGCUCGUAGGCGGUUUGUCGCGUCUGCCGUGAAAGUCCGGGGCUCAACCCCGGAUCUGCGGUGGGUACGGGCAGACUAGAGUGAUGUAGGGGAGACUGGAAUUCCUGGUGUAGCGGUGAAAUGCGCAGAUAUCAGGAGGAACACCGAUGGCGAAGGCAGGUCUCUGGGCAUUAACUGACGCUGAGGAGCGAAAGCAUGGGGAGCGAACAGGAUUAGAUACCCCCGUAGUCCCUGUCUCUUAUAC